rnacentral:lncRNA from 1 species
CGGUGACCUAUGAUAAUUUCAUUUUUUUUGGUGUCAUUUGGUCUCUUGUGGAGAGUAGUCGCAUUUGCAAUAAUACCACAUCUUUUUUUUUUCUUUCUCACAAACAUUCCCGACAUGUCAUUGCCAUAUAUUACAAUUAAUGUUUUAACAUAGUUUAAUACCCGCAUGAACUCUCAUACAUUCAUGACAUUGUCAUAUCAUAAUAAAUGUUUUAACAUAGUUUAAUACUCAUUGUUGAAGGCUGUACGGUGACCUAUGAUAAUUUUUUUUUUUGUGUCAUUUGGUCUCUUGUGGAGAGUAGUCGCAUUUGCAAUCAUACCACAUCUUCUUUUUUUUUCUCACAAACAUUCCCGACAUGUCAUUGCCAUAUAUUACAAUUAAUGUUUUAACAUAGUUUAAUACCCGCAUGAACUCAACAUAGUUUAAUACCCGCAUGAACUCUCAUACAUUCAUGACAUUGUCAUAUCACAAUUAACGUUUUAACAUAGUUUAAUACUCGGAUGAACUCUCAUACAUUCAUGACAUUGUCAUACCACAAUUAAAGUUUGUACAUAGUUUAAUACCCGGAUGAACUCUAUCAUAUAUUCAUGACAUUGUCAUACCACAAUUAUUGUUUUAACAUAGUUUAAUACCCGGAUGUACUCUCUCAUAUAUUCAUGACAUUGUCAUAUCACAAUUAAUGUUUUAACAUAGUUUAAUACCCGGAUGUACUCACUUAUAUAUUCAUGACAUUGUCAUAUCACAAUUAAUGCUUUAACAUAGUUUACUACCCGAAUGAACUCUCACACAUACAUGAUAUUGUCAUAUUUCAAUAAAUGUUUUAACAUACAUGUAGUGUGAUACCCGAAUGAACUCUCACACAUACAUGACAUUGUCAUACCACAAUUCAUGUUUUAACAUAGUUUUAUACCCGAAUGUACUCUCUCACACAUACAUGACAUUGUCAUAUUACAAUUAAUGUUUUAACAUAGUUUAAUACCCGAUGAACUCUCAUACAUUCAUGACAUUGUCAUAUAUCACAAUUAACGUUUUAACAUAGUUUAUUACCCGAAUGACUCUCAUACAUUCAUGACAGACAUUUUCAUACCACAAUUAAAGUUUUAACAUAGUUUUAUACCCGAAUGUACUCUCUCACACAUACAUGACAUUGUCAUAUUACAAUUAAUGUUUUAACAUAGUUUAAUACCCGAUGAACUCUCAUACAUUCAUGACAUUGUCAUAUAUCACAAUUAACGUUUUUACAUAGUUUAUUACCCGAAUGACUCUCAUACAUUCAUGACAGCCAUUUUCAUACCACAAUUAAAGUUUUAACAUAGUUUUAUACCCGAAUGUACUCUCUCACACAUACAUGACAUUGUCAUAUUACAAUUAAUGUUUUAACAUAGCUUAAUACCCGAUGAACUCUCAUACAUUCAUGACAUUGUCAUAUAUCACAAUUAACGUUUUAACAUAGUUUAUUACCCGAAUGAACUCUCAUACAUUCAUGACAGACAUUUUCAUACCACAGUUAAAGUUUUAACAUAGUUUGGGGGGGGCAUAGUUUAUUACGAUGAGAGAGUACAUCCGGGAAUUAAACUAUGUUAAAACAUUAAUUGUGGUAUGACAAUAUCAUCAAUGUAUGAGAGAGUACAUCCGGGAAUUAAACUAUGUUAAAACAUUAAUUGUGGUAUGACAAUAUCAUCAAUGUAUGAGAGAGUGCAUCCGGGAAUUAAACUAUGUUAAAAC